AAAGGAGGGUUGUGUUAGGUCUUCGACAGCCAACAUAACAACUUAGUCGAAUCUUCAUGACAUGGAUCAAAGAUGUUAUUGCGCUAAAGCUAGAUCGUUGUGGUCAAACGAGAUCUACAUGUAAAUGAUCUCUCUAUAGACUUGAUACAUGAUAGAGCUCAAUGGCGUCAUUUGAUUCAUGUAACCGAUCCUACCUAGUGGGACAAGGCUUUGUUGUUGUUGUUGUUGUUGUUGUUGUU